rnacentral:rRNA from 1 species
AGUGAACGCUGGCGGUAGGCCUAACACAUGCAAGUCGAACGGCAGCACAGGAGAGCUUGCUCUCUGGGUGGCGAGUGGCGGACGGGUGAGGAAUACAUCGGAAUCUACUUUUUCGUGGGGGAUAACGUAGGGAAACUUACGCUAAUACCGCAUACGACCUACGGGUGAAAGCAGGGGAUCUUCGGACCUUGCGCGAUUGAAUGAGCCGAUGUCGGAUUAGCUAGUUGGCGGGGUAAAGGCCCACCAAGGCGACGAUCCGUAGCUGGUCUGAGAGGAUGAUCAGCCAGACUGGAACUGGGACACGGUCCAGACUCCUACGCGAGGCAGCGGUGGGGAAUAUUGGACAAUGGGCGCAAGCCUGAUCCAGCCAUACCGCGUGGGUGAAGAAGGCCUUCGGGUUGUAAAGCCCUUUUGUUGGGAAAGAAAUCCAGCUGGUUAAUACCCGGUUGGGAUGACGGUACCCAAAGAAUAAGCACCGGCUAACUUCGUGCCAGCAGCCGCAGUAA